GGGCCUGUAGCUCAAUGGUUAGAGCAGGGAACUCAUAAUUCCUUGGUCGGGGGUUCGAAUCCCUCCAGGCCUA
rnacentral:tRNA from 1 species